rnacentral:rRNA from 1 species
GAUGAACGCUGGCGGUGUGCCUAAUACAUGCAAGUCGAGCGAACAGACGAGGAGCUUGCUCCUUUGACGUUAGCGGCGGACGGGUGAGUAACACGUAGGUAACCUACCUAUAAGACUGGGAUAACUUCGGGAAACCGGAGCUAAUACCGGAUAAUAUUUCGAACCGCAUGGUUCGAUAGUGAAAGAUGGCUUUGCUAUCACUUAUAGAUGGACCUGCGCCGUAUUAGCUAGUUGGUAAGGUAACGGCUUACCAAGGCAACGAUACGUAGCCGACCUGAGAGGGUGAUCGGCCACACUGGAACUGAGACACGGUCCAGACUCCUACGGGAGGCAGCAGUAGGGAAUCUUCCGCAAUGGGCGAAAGCCUGACGGAGCAACGCCGCGUGAGUGAUGAAGGUCUUCGGAUCGUAAAACUCUGUUAUUAGGGAAGAACAAACGUGUAAGUAACUGUGCACGUCUUGACGGUACCUAAUCAGAAAGCCACGGCUAACUACGUG